UAAGCGGAGGAAAAGAAACUAACAAGGAUUCCCCUAGUAACGGCGAGUGAAGUGGGAAAAGCUCAACUUUGAAAUCUGGUACUUUCAGUAUCCGAAUUGUAGUCUCAAGAAGUGUUUUCUGUGCUGGUCCAUGUAUGAGUCUGUUGGAACACAGCGUCAUAGAGGGUGACAACCCCGUUCAUGACAUGGAUACCAGUGCUUUGUGAUACACUCUCGAAGAGUCGAGUUGUUUGGGAAUGCAGCUCAAAUUGGGUGGUAAAUUCCAUCUAAAGCUAAAUAUUGGCGAGAGACCGAUAGCAAACAAGUACCGUGAGGGAAAGAUGAAAAGCACUUUGGAAAGAGAGUUAACAGUACGUGAAAUUGUUGAAAGGGAAACGAUUGAAGUCAGACGUGCGUGAUGCGGUUCAGCUCUGGUUCGCCAGAGUGUACUCCGUAUCUUUGCAGGCCAACAUCGGUUUUGUUAGUCGGAUAAAGGUUUGAGAAAUGUGGCAUCUUCGGAUGUGUUAUAGUCUCAGACUGAAUACGAUUGAUGGGACCGAGGAACGCAGCGCGCCGCAAGGCAAAGGUUCCGACCUUUUCGCGCUUAGGAUGUUGGUGAAAUGGCUUUAAACGACCCGUCUUGAAACA
rnacentral:rRNA from 1 species